rnacentral:rRNA from 1 species
CCUACGGGCGGCUGCAGUGGGGAAUAUUGGACAAUGGGGGGAACCCUGAUCCAGCCAUGCCGCGUGUGUGAAGAAGGCCCUCGGGUUGUAAAGCACUUUCAGUGAGGAAGAACGCCUGGUGGUUAAGACCCAUCAGGAAAGACAUCACUCACAGAAGAAGCACCGGCUAACUCCGUGCCAGCAGCCGCGGUAAUACGGAGGGUGCGAGCGUUAAUCGGAAUUACUGGGCGUAAAGCGCGCGUAGGUGGCUUGAUAAGCCGGUUGUGAAAGCCCCGGGCUCAACCUGGGAACGGCAUCCGGAACUGCCAAGCUAGAGUGCAGGAGAGGAAGGUAGAAUUCCCGGUGUAGCGGUGAAAUGCGUAGAGAUCGGGAGGAAUACCAGUGGCGAAGGCGGCCUUCUGGACUGACACUGACACUGAGGUGCGAAAGCGUGGGUAGCAAACAGGAUUAGAUACCCUUGUAGUC